UACGAAGGGGGCUAGCGUUGCUCGGAAUCACUGGGCGUAAAGGGUGCGUAGGCGGGUCUUUAAGUCGGGGGUGAAAUCCUGGAGCUCAACUCCAGAACUGCCUUCGAUACUGGAGAGCUCGAGUCCGGGAGAGGUGAGUGGGAACUGCGAGUGUAGAGGUGAAAUUCGUAGAUAUUCGCAAGAACACCAGUGGCGAAGGCGGCUCACUGGCCCGGUACUGACGCUGAGGUGCGAAAGCGUGGGGAGCAA
rnacentral:rRNA from 1 species